rnacentral:lncRNA from 1 species
AAUACCAUGUUCAAAAAAGAUGUUAUCAAUUUUAUUCAAUUUUUAUAUCUCGCUUGUAUAUUUAUUUUUGAAAGUAUGAAUGAACAGAAAAAAAUGUUUAACGCAAUAAGUACAAAUAUUUUUUUCUCUUCAUUUUUUACACCAUUCUUUCAUUUUUUUUCUAAUGUGCUAAGUCAUUUUCACGACAUUUCUACGUCCCCUAUUGUAACCAUGUCACUACACUCUACCACCGACAUGGAUACACGACAAAAUAUAACUAAAUUAAUUGAAUACUCAAAAGAUGAAUAUAAUUGUCAAAACAAAAAAGAGCAAAAAAACUGUGAGGAUCGUAAUAAGAACAGCCUCGAUGGUAACAACGGCGAUAAUAACGACAACCACAAUGAUAUCGAUUCUUUGAGUAAUAUAUUUUUUACAUACAAUAAGCACAUGCGACAGGCCCUAAUAAAGUACAAACCGUUUACUCUUUUUUUCCAAUACGUAUCUAAUAAUAAUUAUAAUACCAAUUGCUACCGAAUUCUGGAUCUACUCAUUUACGAAGGAGAUGCACUGUUAGAAACGAGACCAAAUAAAAACGAUAUUUUAAUUGAGCUAAUAAAUAAAAACGAUUUUUAUUUUACUAAAAUAUUAUCAUUCAAUUUUAAUGAUAAUGAAGGAAUAAUCGAAACAGUUAUAUAUAUAUUUUAUUUAUGCCUUAGCUAUGACAAAAAUUUUAUAGAAAAAAAACUAAACCAUAGUAAGAUGCAUAAUUACGUCGAAAGUAUAUUUACUUAUAAUGAUAACAAUAAAAAUAUAAACCCUAUCUUUUUAUUUAUGGCAUUAUCAUACGCUUAUUAUUAUAUAACUCAAGAUAAAAUAUUAUCAAUUUUUAAAUGUAUUAAAAAAGAAAUGCAUAAAAUAAAUUUACAAUCCUGGUUAAAUAUUAAAAAAAUGAAAAAUAUACAUUUUGUUUUUGAUUGUAUAUUUUCUCUGAAAAUUAAUACUACUAUUUAUAAUUAUUAUUUCGCAUUCAUUAUUUAUAUUACCAAAUUAGAGUUGUCUUUAUAUUCUUUACAGCAGUCAGACCAAAUAGACAACAGGUUGUAUAUGUCUAUUUCUAAGAAUAGCGUAAGUCCUACUUCAAAAAAAAAAAAAAAAAAAUUAGUCCGAGUGUAUUCGUUGAUGUAUAUAUAUAUAUAUAUAUAUGUAUAUGUACAAACAUAUGUAUCCCCAUGUGUCCACCUGUUUAUUCACAUACACAUGCACCUACUCAUACAUUCACUUACCGCACAGGACCUACUGAAUAACAUCUUCGAACAUGUCGAACGGGACAACAUACAAAACAAAGAUGUAAUAUAUGUCUAUUAUUUAAUAACAAAACUAAGAAAAUACGCUUCCGAGCAAAGUAAAAAUUUAAAUUUAUAUAAAAUGAUGAACACUGUGAUUAGGUAUAUGAACUCAAUAGUUAAUGCAUCGGAAGAAAUAAAUAAUGUAUUUUCUUUUUUUUCUAUAUUCUUUGAAAAUUUAGAAAUAUAUGCUCAAACAGAUAUAUUUAACAUAAUUAUUGUAUUACAAAAGUUAUCAUUUUAUGUAAAAUCGUCAUUAAAAAAAUAUUUUGAUAAAAAUAUGCACCUUUUAAACGAUGAAGAUAACAAGAAAGAUGUUAUUUUCAUGUCCUUAAAAUUUGAAAAUUGGUUUUUUUAUUUCAUAUUAAAUUUAAUUUUAUAUUGUAAAAGAUAUAAUCAAAUAAAAAAUAUAAAUAUUUUAUCAUCUUCAGUACCAUUAAUACAAUUAUUAGUUUAUUCUAUACAAUUUACUAAUGAUGACUUCAAAAGCUUAGCAAUCCUUAUACUAUCAUUACUUAUUUUACCUUAUCCGAUUGUACAUAAAACGAUCUCACCGCUACUUAUGAUAUUAUCAACGUCUUUUGACAAAUGUUCUGAGGAUAUAUUACUAUCUUCCGUGUCCGCAAAAUCGCUUGGUAGUACUAGUGGUUGUGACCAUAACAACAGUAAUACCAAUAGCAAUAGUAACAACAAUAUGAGUAGUAGCACCGACAGUAAAAAUGAUAAUGAAUAUGUUAAAACUGAUGAAGGUGUUAUUAGGAAAAAAUAUGUAAUUAGAAAAAACUUGUUUUAUCCUUUAAUCACUAGUAAACACG